AUGAUAGCAGAGUCUCUGCAUCUUCUAACCGAGUUGUUCGGGAUUUUGACCCUUGACUGGAUCCUUUGCAACCGGAAUCAUCUUUCCUCCUCCUCCUCCUCCUCCUCCAUCUCCAUCGACCGAAUAUCCAAUCCAAUCCAAUCCAAUCUCUCUCCCCCCUCAUCAUGCAGCAAGGCGACUACUCCUCCGCCCCGUACUACCACUACCCUCACCUCCCGCCGAACCCCAACCCCGCCGCCGCCGCUGAUCCGCCGCCGAUGUCCUUCGCCUCCGCGCCCCCUUCUCCUCCGGCUACUCCCCUCCGAUUACCCCGCCUACCCCCUACGGCGCCCCCGCCCCGCCCCCGAUCCGAUCGCCCCCCCCGACCGCCCCCUCCUACGCCCCGCCCCCGAUCUCCAACUCCAACCCCCAAGCGCCGCCGCCGCCCCCGCCGCCGGUGUCCUCCUUCGUCCCUUCUACCCCGCAGGCCCCCUCCUCCUUCCCUCCCUUCGAUUCUCACGCCCCUACCAGCCGCCCCCGCCGCAGCCGCCGCCGCAGCAGUCUUAUUACGCGCCGCCCCCGGCCCCUCCGCCCGCCCCCGCGCCCGCGCCUCCCCCGCCCGGGCCCUACGAUCAGCUUCAGGCCGCCGCGAGCUACCCUCCGCAGACCUCGAUCGCGCCCCCCGCCCUGAACCCUAGCUCGGUCCCCAAUCAGAGCACGAAUUCGACGUACUCGUCCAUCUACGCCUCGUCGGCCCCGUACAACCCACCGUAUGAGCCGACGUAUGAUAAUUCCGUGAAGUACGAUCAGGGGGGAUCGUUCCUCGAUGAUAGGUAUGGCGGGGGAUACGGUCGUAGCAUGUCCGAUUACGGGUCGGAUUUCUACAGGAAGCAAUCGGAUGUUUCGCAGUAUGGUUCGGGUUCGAGGCGGGAGGACGCGUAUGGAGAUGGUGUGUUUGCUUACGAAGGAGGGAAAGUCGAGCCAUAUGGUGCUCGAGGCACUUCUUCGAAAUCAUCGACCUGGUCUGCGUUCGAUGAUUAUGGAAGACCAAUCAGUUUUCCUCUGGGAAGGAGUCUUCAGUCAGCUCACCGAAGAUUGUAAGAGCAGUGCCCAAGGCGGAGACGCAGCAGGAUGUAAAGAGUGGGGUCCAGAAGUUUAGGUGAAGCUCUUGCCUGAAAGUGGUUCUCAAAGUACAAUGGAUGUUCUCUGUCAGAUAGGCUUGGAUGGAAUUCGUAUGCUUGAUCCUUCGACAAGUCGGACUUUGAGGAUAUACCCUUUAGAGACCAUCACCAGAUGUGAAGUGACAGAUUCAUCUAUAUUUUCAUUUUGGUCAAAGAGUUCUGUGGAUAUUGAACCCAGACGUAUUAGAUUACAAUCAAAUCGUUACACAACUAACACACUCCUUGAUACGGUGACGGCUGCGACUGUUCAGUUAAAGGAAAUGGGUGGAAGGACCAGGCCUUCUGAUCCUGUAAAGACAAGUGAACAGCCUGCAGAGAGGAAGAAAGGUAUUGCUGACUGGAUGAAUUUGAUGAAGCCUGGCAAUGAGGAGAAGGAUCACUGGGUUCCCGAUGAAGCAGUUUCAAAGUGUACAGCUUGUGGAUCGGAUUUUAGUGCUUUUAUUCGCAGGCACCACUGCAGGAAUUGUGGAGAUAUUUUCUGCGAUAAAUGUACCCAUGGUAGGAUUGCCCUAACUGCCGAAGAAAAUGCUCAACCAGUUCGCGUUUGUGACCGUUGUUUGGCUGAAGUUACUCAGCGACUGAGCAAUGCGAAGGAAGCAUCUAGUAAACCGGUGGGAUUUCAGAGUCAUGAGGACCUUGCAAGAAAGCUUCAGGAGGAAAUGGAGAGGAAUCGCAAAGGAUCAGCGGGCUCCCAGUCAGAUGGUUCUGGAAGGAGGAUGAAGGAAGUUGCCUGUCCCAUAUGCACUGUUCAUUUGCAGGUCCAGGUUCCAACCUCUGGUUCUGAGACUAUUGAAUGUGGAGUGUGUCAGCAUCCCUUCCUCGUGAGUGCCCACUAGUGCCACCCUCUUUGGGCAAUGAGGCUUCUGCAUUAUAACUUCUUUGAAUUGUUUAGCAUGUGGGAAAGGGCUUUGGAUGGCUACAAUGAGAUUAGUGACCUAUUUAGUAAAUUCCUUUGCUUUCUUUGGAGAAUUUGAGCCAAUGUUGGUAGUUCACGAUAUAUUACUGUAAAUUGAGAUUUGAGUUGGUGCUGAGUGUGAUAGUGACUUUUGUACAUGGAUGAACUGCAGAAUUGUUGGUGCGGGUAUUGUGGUAUGCAUAUCGCAUGCCAGUGGCUUGUUGCAAGUUACCUUUCGAUGUAAAAAAUAUUUGAUCAUGUUAAUCCUGUGACUUAUUUGCAUUUUUCUU